GGUGUUGUACAGGCAUGGGUGCGGGGGUCAUGGGAACAGGGUUCCAGGCCGUGGUGCUGGUCAUGGUCUUGCUCUGCCAGUUGUGUCCCCCAGUUAGUCUCUUCUCUCCAGACUGGCUCCACUGCAUGUCUGGCCUGAACACCGGGGCACACAGAGACAAAAUGCACCGUGCAAAAACACCACACUCGUUAAUCAACUGUCACUAUAUCAUAUUUGUGACAAUCCGACGCCAACGGUUAUAAACAGAUAUAAAGGCAUGUCUAAUAACAUCGGUAAUAUAUUGCAGCUAAAGCUCUUCACUAGGUCUCACUGUGUCCUCUGAGGGGUAAAGCUCUUCACUAGGUCUCACUGUGUCCUCUGAGGGGUAAAGCUCUUCACUAGGUCUCACUGUGUCCUCUGAGGGGUAAAGCUCUUCACUAGGUCUCACUGUGUCGUCGCUGAGGGGUAAAGCUCUUCACUAGGUCUCACUGUGUCGUCGCUGAGGGGUAAAGCUCUUCACUAGGUCUCACUGUGUCGUCGCUGAGGGGUAAAGCUCUUCACUAGGUCUCACUGUGUCGUCGCUGAGGGGUAAAGCUCUUCACUAGGUCUCACUGUGUCGUCGCUGAGGGGUAAAGCUCUUCACUAGGUCUCACUGUGUCGUCGCUGAGGGACAAAGCUCUUCACUAGGUCUCACUGUGUCGUCGCUGAGGGACAAAGCUCUUCACUAGGUCUCACUGUGUCGUCGCUGAGGGACAAAGCUCUUCACUAGGUCUCACUGUGUCGUCGCUGAGGGACAAAGCUCUUCACUAGGUCUCACUGUGUCGUCGCUGAGGGACAAAGCUCUUCACUAGGUCUCACUGUGUCGUCGCUGAGGGACAAAGCUCUUCACUAGGUCUCACUGUGUCGUCGCUGAGGGGUAAAGCUCUUCACUAGGUCUCACUGUGUCGUCUCUGAUGGGUAAAGCUCUUCACUAGGUCUCACUGUGUCGUCGCUGAGGGGUAAAGCUCUUCACUAGGUCUCACUGUGUCGUCGCUGAGGGGUAAAGCUCUUCACUAGGUCUCACUGUGUCGUCGCUGAGGGGUAAAGCUCUUCACUAGGUCUCACUGUGUCGUCGCUGAGGGGUAAAGCUCUUCACUAGGUCUCACUGUGUCGUCGCUGAGGGGUAAAGCUCUUCACUAGGUCUCACUGUGUCGUCGCUGAGGGACAAAGCUCUUCACUAGGUCUCACUGUGUCGUCGCUGAGGGGUAAAGCUCUUCACUAGGUCUCACUGUGUCGUCGCUGAGGGACAAAGCUCUUCACUAGGUCUCACUGUGUCGUCGCUGAGGGGUAAAGCUCUUCACUAGGUCUCACUGUGUCGUCGCUGAGGGGUAAAGCUCUUCACUAGGUCUCACUGUGUCGUCGCUGAGGGACAAAGCUCUUCACUAGGUCUCACUGUGUCGUCGCUGAGGGGUAAAGCUGCUUUAGUUUCUGUUUAGUUUCCAACGUAUCUGAGUAGCACAGAAGCUCUGGAGAUGGGUGGGUCCUAACACAGGUCUGUGGGAUGGCAGUCCGUCUCGGGAAAACACUGCAGUGGUCUGUCCCAAAAGGACAUUUACAUGCUACGUAGCAAACUAUCCAGAGUGUUGAUUAACGCUAUGUUUCUACCACAUGAUGGUUUUGUAAUUAAAAACACUCAGAUGUCAAAACUAUUUUAGUGGCUUUUCUUGGUGUACCCCCUUUUCUCCACAAUUUCGUGAAAUCCAAUUGGUAGUUACAGUCUUUUGACCAGGAGUCUAAGUUUACAGACUUGUCCCCUACGGACUCGGGAGAGGUGAAGGUCGAGAGCCAUGCGUCCUCCUAAACACGAACCCACCAAGCCGCACUACUCGCUUAACCUGGAAGCCAGUCGCACCAAUGUGUCGUUGGAAACACCGUACAUCUGGCGACCGAAAUCAGCUUGCAGGCGACCGGCCCGCCACAAGGAGUCGCGAGAGUGUGGCCGGUGGCCGGUCAAACCCUCUCCUAACCCGGACGACGCUGGGCCAAACCCUCUCCUAACCCGGACGACGCUGGGCCAAAACCUCUCCUAACCCGGACGACGCUGGGCCAAACCCUCUCCUAACCCGGACGACGCUGGGCCAAUUAUCCACCGCCUCAUGGGUCUCCCGGUCACGGCCGGCUGUGACACAGCCUGGGAUCGAACCCGGGGCUGUAGUGAAGGCUCAAUGACAGCAAUGCAGCGCCUUAGACCACUGCGCCACUCAGGAGGCCAAGACUAUCACUUAUUUUAGUAAUGUGUUUUAUGUCGAGAAGCAGUCUACUGUGUGUUAUCAGCACUGCCUGCCUGGGACUGGAGUACAGUAGGAUGGCAGACCGCCAUAGCCCUCUAUUGUCUAGGGAAAACGCUGCAGUAGUCUGGCUCUACAUCACAUCCACACAC